UACAGAGGGUGCAAACGUUGUUCGGAAUUACUGGGCGUAAAGCGAGUGUAGGCGGUCUGAAAAGUCGGGUGUGAAAGCCCCGGGCUCAACCCGGGAAGUGCACUCGAAACUGCCAGGCUAGAGUAUCGGAGAGGUUGGUGGAAUUCUCGGUGUAGAGGUGAAAUUCGUAGAUAUCGAGAGGAACACCGGCGGCGAAGGCGGCCAACUGGACGAAUACUGACGCUGAGACUCGAAAGCGUGGGGAGCAAACAGG
rnacentral:rRNA from 1 species